AAAAAUACAGCGACCCGUCCGAUAUAUUCUACGUCCCCUUUUCAACCGAGAGAGAAAGCGCGAAACUUUCGGAGUGCCCGCCUGUGUUCUGAAAAGUGUUUUCGAGAAUGCAACACGCGUCGCUGUAAAACCCGUAGCAGCGUCCGUGCGUUUUGCUCCGAACGCACGAAAUGUGUUUGCAUGACAUCCGGUAUAAAUUAGCAUUUUAAGAAGAAGAAAAAAAAAAAAAUUACGAACACAACCCGCACGACGGGUGAACCCAGCGGCGGAUAUAGGAUUU